rnacentral:rRNA from 1 species
UCUCCUGGAAACGGGUGGUAAUGCCGGAUGUUCCACAUGAUCGCAUGUGAUUGUGGGAAAGAUUCUAUCGGCGUGGGAUGGGGUCGCGUCCUAUCAGCUUGUUGGUGAGGUAACGGCUCACCAAGGCUUCGACGGGUAGCCGGCCUGAGAGGGCGACCGGCCACAUUGGGACUGAGAUACGGCCCAGACUCCUACGGGAGGCAGCAGUGGGGAAUAUUGCACAAUGGGCGCAAGCCUGAUGCAGCGACGCCGCGUGAGGGAUGGAGGCCUUCGGGUUGUAAACCUCUUUUGUUUGGGAGCAAGCCUUCGGGUGAGUGUACCUUUCGAAUAAGCGCCGGCUAACUACGUGCCAGCAGCCGCGGUAAUACGUAGGGCGCAAGCGUUAUCCGGAUUUAUUGGGCGUAAAGGGCUCGUAGGCGGCUCGUCGCGUCCGGUGUGAAAGUCCAUCGCUUAACGGUGGAUCUGCGCCGGGUACGGGCGGGCUGGAGUGCGGUAGGGGAGACUGGAAUUCCCGGUGUAACGGUGGAAUGUGUAGAUAUCGGAAAGAACACCA